GGGGAAUUUUGGACAAUGGGCGCAAGCCUGAUCCAGCCAUGCCGCGUGUCUGAAGAAGGCCUUCGGGUUGUAAAGGACUUUUGUCAGGGAAGAAAAGGGCGGGGUUAAUACCCCUGUCUGAUGGCGGUACCUGAAGAAUAAGCACCGGCUAACUACGUGCCAGCAGCCGCGGUAAUACGUAGGGUGCGAGCGUUAAUCGGAAUUACUGGGCGUAAAGCGGGCGCAGACGGUUACUUAAGCAGGAUGUGAAAUCCCCGGGCUCAACCUGGGAACUGCGUUCUGAACUGGGUGACUAGAGUGUGUCAGAGGGAGGUAGAAUUCCACGUGUAGCAGUGAAAUGCGUAGAGAUGUGGAGGAAUACCGAUGGCGAAGGCAGCCUCCUGGGAUAACACUGACGUUCAUGCUCGAAAGCGUGGGUAGCAAACAGGAUUAGAUACCCUGGUAGUCCACGCCCUAAACGAUGUCAAUUAGCUGUUGGGCAACUUGAUUGCUUAGUAGCGUAGCUAACGCGUGAAAUUGACCGCCUGGGGAGUACGGUCGCAAGAUUA
rnacentral:rRNA from 1 species